rnacentral:misc_RNA from 1 species
GAUGAAGAACGUAGCGAAAUGCGAUAAGUAGUGUGAAUUGCAGAAUUCAGUGAAUCAUCGAAUCUUUGAACGCACAUUGCGCCCCUUGGUAUUCCAUGGGGCAUGCCUGUUCGAGCGUCAUUUGUACCUUCAAGCUCUGCUUGGUGUUGGGUGUUUGUCUCGCCUCUGCGUGUAGACUCGCCUCAAAACAAUUGGCAGCCGGCGUAUUGAUUUCGGAGCGCAGUACAUCUCGCGCUUUGCACUCAUAACGACGACGUCCAAAAGUACAUUUUUACACUCUUGACCUCGGAUCAGGUAGGGAUACCCGCUGAACUUAAGCAUAUCAAUACGCGGAGGA